GGGUGGAAAAGUUAAUUACACUGUAAACGAGUGACAGACGACUAGAGUAAUUCCAUCUUGAUUAAUCAGAAAAUCUUCCUUCCUUACUUAUGAAGCCCUUGCGUAGCAGUGGUUGACAGUAUUUAUAAGGGCGUUGUUGUGUUUCAGCUCCUUUGUUUGUUCUUGUGCGUAAGUCAUCUCGUGCACAUAAAUGUGUGCAAUCUCUUGUGAAACUUAUCACUGUUCUCUGUAACACCUUCAUUACUGUUCAUAUGUAAUCGUCAACAACAGCUCAUCCAGUCUAUAUAUAUACAACAGGUUUUCUCAUUACCGAUGCUUCAUGGAGUCAUGAACUUUGAAGCCAGCAAUUAAGGAAGAUGGAGGGCUUUCAGUGCUGGGAGACAAGACUGCACCCCAAUGCCCUCAGUGAUGGUUUAAUUGCAAAGACUGCUGAACAAACUUUGGCUACAGUUCAUUCUAUGUUUCAUCGGGCGGCAGAGAAAUUCGAUUGGAAACGAAUAUUAGACAUUUUUGGAAAGUAUAAUCCUUCUGGUAUAGAAUAUUCACCGGGUUUUCAGAAGACCACCAAGUGUAAGGCACAACAUGUGGAAGAUGAAGCACAACACUUUUUUCUUCCUCCGAGUUUGAUGCCUUGCAUGGUAAAACACGUAUUCAUAGGAUUCGUCAACUGGCCAUGAUGAGCUUGGACGAUCAUAGGUCACCAAGUGACUGCACCACCGGACCUCUAAAACAGAGUAAGUUUUUUUUUUAAACAUUUUGGGAUGUAGGGGACAGGGAGGAAAGAGCAGGAUGAUAGAGCUUUCCUCCCUUUAUUUAUCUUUCAGCUAGUGUUCAACUCCCCCUUCUCCCUCAUCCCUUCUAUGGGCGGAUGUGUGGGGCCCUCGCUGAUGGCUGGUCAACAGAAGCUUGCCUGUUAUUUCUCAUCGGGGUGCUUUUUCAGUAAAUUAAUUUUAAUGUAGAAAAAACAUUGCCUACUGGCGUGGAUCGUGUCACACAGACAAGCCUGAUAGUAAGAUCAACAAGCUAGCCUAUUUUUUUUUUUUUAGUUUUGGUUUUCUUUCUCUCUAGGGCUCUAAUAAAUCUGUAACGAGGCAUUUUCUGUUUCCAUGAAAUGAGAUAAGUAAGUGAAGUCUCUGUAUUCCCGUUGUUGUGGCUCUGUAUUUAUCUCUGUACUUCUGGUGUAAAACGGACUCAACCAUUGGUGUGAAGAGACUGGUGUCAAAAUGACAAUAUUUAUGCAAACAAAAGAAAUAAAUCUCUAUCUGGUCGAAACAGUGUUUGAGGUUAGGGAUAGAUGGGCUGGAGGUGUGCUCAGCUUUGUGCACAUGCUACACAAUUAAAGUUAAGUUCAAAGUUGCUGAGAGGUUAAUAAAACAUGACCUUAUCAUUAGUUUGUCAUAAAGAUUUGAGUUGUUUAUUUUGGGGGGACUAAACUGUAAACUUAGACUGAAGCCAACAUCUUAUAUCAGAGCCUCGAUCACAUGCCAGUGAGACAUUGCAUCAAUAGUGAACCUAUUCUGUGACCUAGCGGGAACUCAGGUCUUGACAUUAAAACUCAGAUUAGAGCUGCACUGUUCAAAGAACUGUGUCAUCUGAACAGAACAAUGUUCUUUCACCGAGUUGGAGAAGUGAAUUGUAAUAUUGUCACAGAGGGGGAGAUGAGGCUAACAGCCGGCACAGUAAUGGUGGCUGAGCCCACCUGCUGAAUCCUAAUCGGGAUUCCUUUUUUAGCUAGUGGAACAAGAAAGGGGAAGACGAUUUAAAUUGAUUGUCGCUGGCCAGCACUUCACUUCCCAGGGAGACAUGGCGAGUGCCGAGACACUAAGUGUAGGGGAGAGGAGGCUGCGUCUGCCUAGAAAGCUGUUAAUAGGCGCAGUCUGCCGGGCCGGGAGAUGGACCAUGGAGUGAAAGGCCGGAAGAUGGGCCGUGUUUGGGCCUGGCUAAUGCCACGGACUAAUGGACCUUGAAGAUGCCAUGAAAUAUCUGAAGAAUUUUUUUUGACUGGUAAUCUGGGGUAUGUGGCCCAGAAGGACAACGUCUGACCCCAAGAGUCAGCGUUUGACCAAUCAGAAGCUGGUAUGUCGCAUGAGCACGCGGCUCAUGCAGUGAUGACUGGACCAGACGCACAGAUAAAGUUGAGGGAAAGAACAGACUUGCAGCUGAUUUCCGGAACCUUAGUUCGAUGCCCAUUCCUACCGACUCUGCCCGGAAACCAGUGUCAUAGGACCCGCAGCCCCAGUUGCCGAACCUGAGAAGCCGUUGAAGGUGAAUCGUGAUCACUCUUUUACUUCAAAGAGCUCGCUGUGGAAAUUCCGCUCUGUUAGGAUGGUUGGCAGCUAAAAAGGUCUUUCAGCUGCUAGAUGGCUCGAAUGACUAAUCAAAUUUCCUCUUGUUUUGCUUGCUUGUUUUUGUUUUUCUUCCAUUCUCACUUAUUCACAGCUAGUGAAAAAACAGUAAUACCGUUAACACCUUGGUAGUGGUGAUGAUUCAUAAUUCAUAAUAAUCAUAAAUAAUAACAGCGCUAGUACUCUACAAUGCUUAUUUUUGCUUACCGGAGAACAAGCGCACAGCAGUCGAAAAUAGGUAUGUGGAAUCAUGUUUGAAGUCUGUGGGCCAUUUUAAAACCAAUGGCGAAGAUAAUAAACACUCA